rnacentral:SRP_RNA from 1 species
GCCGGGUGCGGUGGCAUGUGCCUGUAAUCCAAGUCGCUGGGAGGCUGAGGUUGGUGGAUCAAGUGAGCUGAGGAGCUCUGGGCUGCAGCACACUAUGUUGAACGGGUGUCCACGCUAAGUUCGGUAUCGAUAUGGUGUUCCAGGGGGAGCCCGGGACCACCAGGUUGUCUAAGGAGGGGUGAACCGGCCCAGGUCGGAAACGAAGCAGGUCAAAUCCCCCGUGCUGUCCUGUAGUUAGAUAAUACCUGUGAGUAGAUGCUGCAGUGCAACCUUGGCAAAACAUCGAGACUUAAUCUUUU